GUUAAAAAAAUCUUAUAUAUAAGAAUAUGGGUAAAAUUUAAAAAUUAAUUAAAGUAAUAUUAAUUUUAUAUGUUUAAGUAUAGUUUAUAGAAAUAAUAAUUUAAUUAUAGUUAAUUAGUAUUGUGAAAGAAUGAUGAAAUAUGUGAAAAUAUGAUUAUAAAAUAAGUAAUUUUAAUUUAUUGUAUCUUGUGUAUCAGAGUUUAUUAAUUUAAAUUUUUUUAUAAAAAAAUUUCGAAAUUAAAAGAGUUAAUUAAUUAUUUAAUUUAUUGUGGCAUAAAUAUUUAAAAUAAUUAAUUAGAAAUGAAAUGUUAUUCGUUUUUAAUUAUAUCUAAUUUUUAAAGAAAUAAAUUUAAUUUAGAUAAUUGAGUUUUAAUAAAUAAAUUAAAUUAUUUAUUGAAAUUUAAUUAUUAAUAAGUUAGGGGAUAAGCUUUAAUUUAAAAUUUUAAAAUUUUAAAAAUAUAUUAAAAAUUUAUAAAAAUAAAAUUAUUUAUUAUUUUUAGUUUUUUAUAAAAAAUUUUUAAUUUAUAUAAUAUUUAAUAAAAUAAAAUUUAAUAAAUUUAUUUAAAAUAAUGAUUAUAAUAGUAAAAAUAUAUUUAAUAAUGAUAAAAUUAGUAUAAUUUAAAAAUAAAUUAAUUAAUAUUUGAAAGUUGAAAUUAAGGAAUUCGGCAAAAUUAUAUUCGCUUGUUUAUCAAAAACAUGUCUUUUUGUUUAAAAAUUUAAAGUCUAAUCUGCCCACUGAAAUUAAUUUUAAAGGGCCGCAGUAUUUUAACUGUGCAAAGGUAGCAUAAUAAUUAGUUUUUUAAUUGAAAACUAGAAUGAAUGAUUGGACGAAAUAUAGGCUGUCUCAUUUUUAUUUAAAUUGAAUUUAAUUUUUUAGUUAAAAAGCUAAAAUUUGUUUAAAAGACGAGAAGACCCUUUAGAUUUUUAUAUUAAAUGUGGCUUAAAAUAUUUAUUUGAGGUUUUAAAUUAUAUUUAAUAUUAUAUUGGGGUAAUAAAAAAAUAAAUUAAACUUUUUUAUAAUUUAACAUAAAUUAGUGAGUGUUUGAUCCGUUGUAUAAUGAUUAAAAGAUUAAAUUACCUAAGGGAUAACAGCGUAAUUUUAAUUUUAAGUUCGAAUUGAAAUUAGAGAUUGCGACCUCGAUGUUGGAUUAAGAAAAAAUUUAGGGGCAAAAAUUUAAAUUUUAGGUCUGUUCGACCUUUAAAAUCUUACAUGAUCUGAGUUCAAACCGGUGUAAGCCAGGUUGGUUUCUAUCUUUAGAUACAGUAAAAUAUUUUAGUACGAAAGGAUUUAAUAUUUAAAAUAAUUUUUAUUGAGAAGAAUUUUAUUAAAAUAAAUUU
rnacentral:rRNA from 1 species